GGUUUUAUAAUGUAACUUAAUGCAUAAUAGAUUGCAAGUCUAAAAGAGAAAAAUUUUUCUAAAACCU
rnacentral:tRNA from 1 species